rnacentral:rRNA from 1 species
UACGAAGGGGACUAGCGUUGUUCGGAAUUACUGGGCGUAAAGCGCACGUAGGCGGAUUUGUUAGUCAGAGGUGAAAGCCCGGGGCUCAACCCCGGAACUGCCUUUAAGACUGCAUCGCUUGAAUCCAGGAGAGGUGAGUGGAAUUCCGAGUGUAGAGGUGAAAUUCGUAGAUAUUCGCAAGAACACCAGUGGCGAAGGCGGCUCACUGGCCCGGUACUGACGCUGAGGUGCGAAAGCGUGGGGAGCAAACAGG